CAGCAGCCGCGGUAAUACGUAGGGUGCGAGCGUCAAUCGGAAUUACUGGGCGUAAAGCGUGCGCAGGCGGUUCGUUAAGACAGAUGUGAAAUCCCCGGGCUUAACCUGGGAACUGCAUUUGUGACUGGCGAGCUAGAGUAUGGCAGAGGGGGGUAGAAUUCCACGUGUAGCAGUGAAAUGCGUAGAGAUGUGGAGGAAUACCGAUGGCGAAGGCAGCCCCCUGGGCCAAUACUGACGCUCAUGCACGAAAGCGUGGGGAGCAAACAGGAUUAGAUACCCGGGUAGUCCCUGUCUCUUAUAC
rnacentral:rRNA from 1 species